CAUUUGUUUCAGAACGUCAUGAACCAAAGGUGUUAUCACGUCAGCUCGAGUGGUUGGAGGCUAGUCAAGUCCCAGCUGCUUUAAUCGCGUGUUCUCUUGCUGCAUUGGAAGUGGAAUUCAGUUUAAUUUCCUUUCACUAUUGGCGAUGAUGGUUUUUGCGAUAUUCCUCGGUAUGUUCAGGAUACCAUCGCCAAACUAUACGUUAAGUUAUGGGAAUUCUUUUACUACAACAACUCCUGUUAUGGAGUUACACGGUUCUCCAUCUCCUCUACACGCGAAUCAUUCCCUUGAAAGGGAUAUUUAUUAUCCCCUACACGAAGCUCCAGGGUCAGUGUUUAAUAUAAUUAGCAUGAUCUGUACGCUGAUGUUGCUUGUGGUUGUACUCCUGCUUAUACUGUUGUGCGUCCGUGCUUGUUGCAAAGUUCCUGGAAGCACGUACGUGAAGCUGAAGGACUCUGCAGUCUUGGGGUUUGAUUGUUCCAAACUUCAACUGACUAAAUAACUUUUACUUUUAUCAUGAGCCUAGUCGCUGGAGAGCCACUUCCUGCACACACGCUACUGGGCAAGACGACGACGGCGGUGGAAACUUCUGAUGCCCCUAAAAAUUUUUUAGGGGUAUGAUUUUUAAUUGACAAACUAGGUUUUUAAAUGUUUUAAUUUUAGUUAAAUUAUACUUGGUGCACUGUACAAUAGCCUACUAAUAUACAAGCGAUAAUGGUCUUUAUUCGCAUACUCUUAAAAUACUGUGAUAUCAAUAAAAGGUAUGGUUUAAA